UCGCGGUUUACACCGGCAGUCUCGAUAGAGUCCCCAUCAUGACAUGCUGGCAACUAUCGAUAGGGGUUGCGCUCGUUAUGGAACUUAAUCCGACACCUCACGGCACGAGCUGACGACAACCAUGCAGCACCUAGUUUCGCGCUCCGAAGAGAAGACCCCUUUCAAGGUCAGUCGCUAACUUUCAAGCCCGGGUAAGGUUCCUCGCGUAUCAUCGAAUUAAACCACAUGUUCCUCCGCUUGUGCGGGCCCCCGUCAAUUCCUUUGAGUUUCAUUCUUGCGAACGUACUCCCCAGGUGGAUAGCUUAUCGGUUUCCCUUAGACACCGGCUGUAUAUCGCCGACAUCGAGCUAUCAUCGUUUACGGCGUGGACUAC
rnacentral:misc_RNA from 1 species